rnacentral:rRNA from 1 species
CCUACGGGAGGCUGCAGUGAGGAAUAUUGGUCAAUGGACGAGAGUCUGAACCAGCCAAGUAGCGUGAAGGAUGACUGCCCUAUGGGUUGUAAACUUCUUUUAUAUGGGAAUAAAACGUUCCACGUGUGGGAUUUUGUAUGUACCAUAUGAAUAAGGAUCGGCUAACUCCGUGCCAGCAGCCGCGGUAAUACGGAGGAUCCGAGCGUUAUCCGGAUUUAUUGGGUUUAAAUGGAGCGUAGGUGGAUUGUUAAGUCAGUUGUGAAAGUUUGCGGCUCAACCGUAAAAUUGCAGUUGAAACUGGCAGUCUUGAGUACAGUAGAGGUGGGCGGAAUUCGUGGUGUAGCGGUGAAAUGCUUAGAGAUCACGAAGAACUCCGAUUGCGAAGGCAGUUCACUGGACUGCAACUGACACUGAGGCUCGAAAGUGUGGGUAUCAAACAGGAUUAGAUACCCCAGUAGUC